rnacentral:rRNA from 1 species
GACGAACGCUGGCGGCGUGCUUAACACAUGCAAGUCGAACGGAAAGGCCCUGCUUUUGUGGGGUGCUCGAGUGGCGAACGGGUGAGUAACACGUGAGUAACCUGCCCUUCACUUUGGGAUAACUUCAGGAAACUGGGGCUAAUACCGGAUAGGAGCUCCUGCUGCAUGGUGGGGGUUGGAAAGUUUCGGCGGUUGGGGAUGGACUCGCGGCUUAUCAGCUUGUUGGUGGGGUAGUGGCUUACCAAGGCUUUGACGGGUAGCCGGCCUGAGAGGGUGACCGGCCACAUUGGGACUGAAAUACGGCCCAGACUCCUACGGGAGGCAGCGGUGGGGAAUAUUGCACAAUGGGCGGAAGCCUGAUGCAGCAACGCCGCGUGCGGGAUGACGGCCUUCGGGUUGUAAACCGCUUUCGCCUGUGACGAAGCGUGAGUGACGGUAAUGGGUAAAGAAGCACCGGCUAACUACGUG